UUCUGAGCAGCAACUUAGAAAAAUAGCUGAAGAGACCACAACGGAUUCCAUUCUUUGCAAGGUGAUUCAUAAUCUGGAAAAUGGCUGGCAAAAAGGCUCAUGUAAGCAGUACUUCCCACUAAGCGCAGAGCUGUCAAUGGUGUGCUGUUGAAGAACAAUAGAAUGGUGAUACCGACUUCAAUGCAACAGGAGAUGUUACAGAGAGUACAUGAAGGACAUCUGGGGGCUGAGAAAUACAGCCCAAGGAGCCCAUGGUUAUGGGAGAGGUACCCGCCUCAUCCUGGGAGAAGGUUGGAGUCGACUUGUUUCACUGCAAUGAGCAGCUCCCUUGGAAUGUGGCCAGUCACCUGCAGAACUCUUAAUGGCCGCAAUAGAGAAAACCUUUUGAGAACGCAGGAGACGUUUGAGGAUGCUCAGGACACCAGCAUACUGCCACUGGGAACACAGAAAAAAAGAAACGAGAACAAGUGGGGAUGUGACUAGGAGUAGGACAGAAGCUUCGGACACAGUGCCUCAGACCCUGCGCAGGUCUGAGAGGGCCAGCAGGCCUCCAGAAAGAUUGAAUAUUCAGUGGUGAUGAUUAAUGAACAAAAGACUGGCUCAUUGAGUUGUUGUGGUUUGUUCUGAUAUGUUCACGAUUGACUAUUUGGAAACAGAGAUGAAUCGAUAUUUGUGAAUUGACAUUGCUUGUUGAUGAAAUGUGUACGUUUUGUAUAAAAACAAUAUAUAUACACUACCGUUCAAAAGUUUGAGGUCUCUUAGAAUUGUCCUUGUUUUUGAAAGAAAAUACAAAUU